rnacentral:rRNA from 1 species
UACGGAGGGGGCUAGCGUUGUUCGGAAUUACUGGGCGUAAAGCGCACGUAGGUGGCUUUGUAAGUUAGAGGUGAAAGCCCGGGGCUCAACUGGGGAGGGUCACUCGAUACUGAUCGACUCGAAGGCAGAAGAGGGAAGCGGAAUUCCCGGUGUAGUGGUGAAAUGCGUAGAUAUCAGGAGGAACACCAAUUGCGAAGGCAGCUCGCUGGG